rnacentral:rRNA from 1 species
UACGAAGGGGGCUAGCGUUGUUCGGAAUCACUGGGCGUAAAGCGCACGUAGGCGGAUCUUUAAGUCAGAGGUGAAAUCCCAAGGCUCAACCUUGGAACUGCCUUUGAUACUGGGGAUCUCGAGUCCGGAAGAGGAGAGUGGAAUUCCUGGUGUAGCGGUGAAAUGCGCAGAUAUCAGGAAGAACACCAAUGGCGAAGGCAGCUCUCUGGGACGGUACUGACGCUGAGACGCGAAAGCGUGGGAGCGAAGCAGG